rnacentral:tRNA from 1 species
GCGGAAAUAGCUCAGUUGGUAGAGCACAACCUUGCCAAGGUUGGGGUCGCGAGUUCGAGUCUCGUUUUCCGCUCA